rnacentral:misc_RNA from 1 species
GAUGAAGAACGUAGCGAAAUGCGAUAAGUAAUGUGAAUUGCAGAAUUCAGUGAAUCAUCGAAUCUUUGAACGCACCUUGCGCCCUUUGGCCAUUCCGAAGGGCAUGCCUGUUUGAGUAUCAUGAACACCUCAACUCUUUAUGGUUUUCCAUGAUGAGCUUGGACUCUGGGGGUUUUGCUGGCUCACAGUCGGCUCCUCUAAAAUGAAUCAGCUUACCAGUGUUUGGUGGGUAUCAUGGGUGUGAUAACUAUCUACGCUUGUGGUUUUUCCACCAGGUAACCUUCAGCAGUGGAGGUUCGCUGGAGCUCAUAGAUGUCUCACCUCAGUAAGGACAGCCCUUUGAAUGUUUGAUCUCAAAUCAGGUAGGACUACCCGCUGAACUUAAGCAUAUCAAUAAGCGGAGGA